GCCCUCUUAGCUCAGGGGAUAGAGCGUCUGCCUCCGGAGCAGAAGGCCGCUGGUUCGAUUCCAGUAGAGGGUACCA
rnacentral:tRNA from 1 species